ACAGGUAUGCAAAGGGAGAUAAGGAAGAUUACAGCUCCCUCUCCACUGGUUCCAUUGCACACAGCCUUCCUUCUCUGGAGGUGGGGCUAAGGGGGCUAACCUCAAGGGCUUGAUAAUAGCUCUUACUGGGGCUGUAACCUCCCUUAUCUCCUCUUAUUGGUGCAAAA